UUCUAUUUAAGAUUUAUUGGAAUUGAAAAUUUCAUAUUUUUGGUGCUAUGUCAGCAAGUUUUAAGUCAAUGUCAAACAAGAUAUAGUCUUUUGCCAAGAGGGAACAUCAAUUGAGAUAAUUGCCAACCCCAGACUGGAGAGUCUUGAGGGCAUCACUGGUGGCAUGAUGCCUUACAGGAUGGAAUAGAAGCAGACCAGAAGAAAGGAAGAAUGCUCUGCAAGCCCAUCAGAAUCCGCAGAAAUGACUAUGGAAUGGUACGAAAAGAAGAGCCCAUCAAACGGGCUUCCAUCUGCUUCCAUCUCCAAAGUUCAACUUUUAUUAUAAACUAUGCAACUGAAAA